AUUAUAAUGAUGAAAAUAUCCAGGAAGUGCCGUCUGAUUCUUUUUGUUGACGAUAAUUAAAAAUUCUGACCAUAAUUA
rnacentral:snoRNA from 15 species